rnacentral:pre_miRNA from 1 species
CAAAUACUCCCUCCGUUCCAAAUUACUCGUCUCAGAAAUGGAUGUAUUUAGAACUAAAAUACAUCUAGAUACAUCCAUUUCUGCGACGAGUAAUUCGGAACGGAGGGAGUACUAC